AUUGAACGCUGGCGGCAUGCCUUACACAUGCAAGUCGAACGGCAGCACGGGUGCUUGCACCUGGUGGCGAGUGGCGAACGGGUGAGUAAUACAUCGGAACGUACCUUAUCGUGGGGGAUAACGCAGCGAAAGCUGUGCUAAUACCGCAUACGCCCUGAGGGGGAAAGCGGGGGAUCGCAAGACCUCGCGCGAUUAGAGCGGCCGAUGCCUGAUUAGCUAGUUGGUGGGGUAAAAGCCCACCAAGGCAACGAUCAGUAGCUGGUCUGAGAGGACGAUCAGCCACACUGGGACUGGGACACGGCCCAGACUCCUACGGGAGGCAGCAGUGGGGAAUUUUGGACAAUGGGGGCAACCCUGAUCCAGCAAUGCCGCGUGAGUGAAGAAGGCCUUCGGGUUGUAAAGCUCUCUUGUCAGGGAAGAAACACCGGCUCUAACACAGUCCGGGAAUGACGGUACCUGAAGAAUAAGCACCGGCUAACUACGUGCCAGCCGCCGCCGUAA
rnacentral:rRNA from 1 species